AUCAGUUGUCUCGACAUGCUAUGGUUUGAUUCCAGAUGAGGCAAAGAGAGUCUGCAAGUUUGUGGGAGAAUUGAAUUUCUCCUUUGGGUCCUAUGUGUUUAGAUUAGCCCAUGAGGGGGCCUCCUUCCAUUCCACAGUGAGCACCAUUGAGGAAGAGUUGAUAGUUUGAGAGGAGUUUGGGAACCCCAAGAAGGAUCGUACUUUUGAUCAGUUUAUGGAUGCCUCAUCUGGAGGCAGGGGUUCACUGAGGUAGUGGUUCUUCCCAGUGUUAUCGGCCCAUUUGGAUCCAUGCCAGCGGCUAAUAAUGGACAUAUGUCCCGUACGUCUUAGGGUUCUGGCCGAGGUGGGCAUGGUAGUUCAUUUGGUGCACAAUAGCAAUCAUCUAUACCAAGGUCUUGUUUUGGGUAUGGAUAUCCAGGCCACAUGAUCCGUCAGUGCCCCUUGCAGAAUAAUUCAGGACCCCAUUAUACUUAUUCAGCUGCUCCGAAUAGAGAUGCGGCGCCUCCGGCAAGGGGUCGCGGCAGAAGUCAUACAGGUAGAGGUGGCAGGGCUCCUGGUAGAGGUUCUAUUGUUUAGCAUUGAAGUAGAGGUGUUGUUCAAAAUGGAGAUGAUAGAGGUGCCUAGUGUUAAGAUUUUUUGAGGAGACCCGAGGCCAAGGCUUUAGAUGUUAUCAUCACAAAUAUCGUCCUUCUUUGUCAUCAAUCUACAUCAGUGAUAUUUGAUUCUUAAUCUACUAUCUCCUAUGUGUCUAAUUACUUUGCUUCUCACUACAAAAAAAGUAUUCAAUUUCUGGUGGUUGAAUAGCGCAAGUUUCAAUAAUCUCUGCAUAUGUCUAUAUUAAAUGUGAGGGUUAAUACAGCCGCCACUAUUCUUCAAUAGAUUUGCGGGGGGUCGUAUCCUCCGAUACCCCUUAAAAAUAUCAAGGUCACGAGCCACACCCAAUUUUUCCUCCAUUUUUAAUCCUUUCCCUCAUUAUUUCUACCCAAACCCAGUUAUAAUUUCCCCAAACUCAGACCUAAAAAAUCUCCCAAACUUCUCUAAUUUUGAUAAAUGCGAGUGCUGCAAAUUGAUGGAAGAGUGCAUGAUGGGUUAUAUAGGGAGGGAUUGGGAGAGGAAUGAAGGAUGGUGUAGGAUGAAAUAAUGAGGUCAUCGGAGAGGCGGAUUAGGAGAGAAGAGGCUCUAAAUUGUCACAUGAAUUUCUGCAAGAAGUUCAAAGCUCUAAGGCCGUCGCGGAAUUCAACGGAGUUGUUGAUAUCAUCCGUGAAGAAGCUGAUAUUAAGGAGCUUGUAUUCACCAAGAUCAAGUUCGGUUAUCGGCGCAGGUGAAGCACAUAAAGACACCAUUGAUUUCUUUAAUUUUGGCAUAUGAAUCUACUAGUCUAAGGGUAGAAGCCCACAAUUUCCUGGCUCACAUCCAGUCUCUCUUGACAGAUGUUUGUUGUUAGUCAGUCUUUUGUGCGGUUUAUUACGAGUUGGGAAAGUCAGGCAUAAAAGCAAGAUGAUCUCCACUUUUGCAGAUAAAUGAUGGUUGCCAAUGAGAAAAUCUGAUCAGAAGAUGGCAAAAAGAAAUUCAUAUUCACGAGCUUAUUGUUGCUGCAGCUAAGCGCUUGGUAGAAAAUGAGGACAUGUUUGAAUAUUUUCAAUUUCAUCGUCAAUAUAGAUGUUUUGAAUAAAUAUUUUGUUUCUUAUAAUCUUUUGGUGGAAGUUCAUUGGCAGUUUACUUACUAAUAAUAUGACAUUUUUUUAUGAUUUAAUAAAA